rnacentral:rRNA from 1 species
UACAGAGGGUGCAAGCGUUGUCCGGAAUCACUGGGCGUAAAGGGCGCGUAGGCGGCUUUGUAAGUCGGGGGUGAAAGCCUGUGGCUCAACCACAGAAUUGCCUUCGAUACUGCAUGGCUUGAGACCGGAAGAGGUAAGUGGAACUGCGAGUGUAGAGGUGAAAUUCGUAGAUAUUCGCAAGAACACCAGUGGCGAAGGCGGCUUACUGGUCCGGUUCUGGACGCUGAGGCGCGAAAGCGUGGGGAGCAAACAGG